GGGAGUGUAGCUCAGUGGCAGAACACUUGCUUGGCAUGCACAAAGCCCUGGGUUCAAUACCCAGCACCAUCC
rfam:Ictidomys tridecemlineatus contig005887, whole genome shotgun sequence.